AGAAGCUAAAGAGCAGAACAUCAGUGAGACUUACAGAUAUGAGACACAAAGACAGAGAGGGAUAAAGAUCUUAUGAGUCAUCCAUAUGAAAAUGGGGGAUGUAGAAUUCAAGAGAGAAGUUAGGUAAAACAAGGAUUUUGCAAACAUAUAAAAUGACUAUUAACAUCAUAUGAGUAGUUAAGAUUAUAAAAGCAUUUUAAAAUUACAAUAAAAUCAAAGACAGAAUGUUGAGUAAAAAUGAUAUUUUAAGGGGACAGAAGGAAGAUACAGAAACAGGGAUUUUUAUUCAUUUUUGUUUGUUUGUUUGUUUGUUUGUUUUGAGAUAGAGCCUCGCUCUGUUGCCCAGGCUCGAGUGCAGUGAAAAUUUACUAAAAAGUGAAUAAAAACUUGCAUUUCAAAAGAAUGAAGUCCUGAAAAUGAUCACCGGGGUGAAUCCUGCUUUAAUUCUCUGCUUAGAAUUUCUGUCAUAAAACCAAAAGAAAAAAAUAU
rnacentral:lncRNA from 1 species